AGGAGGAGCAGGAAGAGGAGCAGGAGGUGCACGUACCUGAGGAGGAGCGACUCUGCUCUGAGAAUGUGGCAUUUAAAGAAAAGAAGAAGAUGGUGGGGGGGAGGUGGCCUGAUGGUGGUGAAAGACAAAAGUCAUCACUGGCUGACAAAUCGACCAAUCACAUUGCAGGAAAUGCGGCCGGGAAGAGGAGGAGACUAAAGAUUAAGCUUCUGAAGAAGGAUGAGGAGUCCCACACCAGCAAGCGAGGAGAGGAACAAACAACCAGGAUCCAGGAGAGGAAGGAGAACGAGGGGCAGGAGGAGGAGGAGACCAUGAAAGAAAGGGGAGGAGUCAAAUCUGUCAUAAUAAAGACUGAGGAGGGUCGGAGACCGAGGAGGAUGGUUGGCCCGACAGUCAGAUACCUGCUGGAGUCUGAGCAGCAGUCACAUGGGCCAACAGCAGCCAAUCACAGCAGAGCGAGCAGAGAUGUGCGGAGGAGAAAGAUGGGGAGGCCGAGGAAGGAGCAGAAGGAGCUGGAUGACAGCAGCACGGUGGAGUCCUCAACAGACGGAGGAGCAGAGAGAUGGUGGAAGCUCUGCCAGGUGUGUGGUCUGAACGUCACCAGCCAGGCGUCUCUGGAUCUCCACCUUUCCGUCCACAGACCGGCUUCUAGCUGCGCACAAGCUGCUGCUGACCAACAGCAAGAACAAACCAAUCACGUGCAGGGUGAUGCAGAGGAGAGGGAGGAGCCUCAGAGGCAGAGGAGGACAGUCUGCCUACCAAUCAGGUACCUACUGGAGUCGGAGGAAGCGUCACAUGGUUCUGGAACAGCCAAUCAGACCAAUCAGGAGGCAGCUACCAAACCCACAAGAAGGAGAGGAACAUCAAAAGAUGCUGUUGGGGGCGGGGCUUCAGAGGUGAUUGACAGGCCUGAGACUAAUGCUAAAGACACAGGUCACAUGGUCACAACAGGAGGAAGAGAGGAAGGAAAGGAGGAGCCUCACAGGACAAAGAGGACGAUGGUUGGCCGACCAAUGAGGUACCUGCUGGAGUCAGAGGAAACGGGUGGUGUCAGAACCGCCAAUCACGAUGCAGAAAACAAACCCACACAGCGCAGGCGAAGACCAAAAAAUGUUUUUGACUUCAGUGAGGCUGGGGGCGGGGCUUCAAAGAUGACUGACUGUUCUGAUACUGAAGAUAAAGAAACUGAUCACAUGGUCUCAACGGGAGGAAGACAGGAAGGGGAGGAGCCUCAGAGGCCCAGGAAGCUCCUCCUCACAGCACCCACCGAGGCUCCUUAUUGGUCAAGAGACAUAAACCGUGCGAGAACACGUCCCAGCUGGUUGGUCGACUACUGGACCCUGAACAGGAGUGGGAAUGGAAGGAGGGGGUCAAAGAGGAGCAGAGUGGAGGAGGACGAUGAAGAAAGGGAGGCGCAACAAGUCUGUGUGGAGAAGGAGGAGGAGCCUCAAAGGCCGAGGAGGACGAUGGUUGGCCCACCAAUCAGGUACCUGCUGGAGUCAGAGGAGACAACACGGCGUUCUGGAACAGCCAAUCAGACCAAUCAGAAGGCAGCUAACAAACACACAAGGAGGAGAGGAAGAUCAAAAGACUCUGUUGGAGGCGGGGCUUCAAAGAUGACUGACUGUUCUGACAUUGGAGAUAAAGACACAGGUCACAUGGUCUCAACGGGAGGAAGACAGGAAGAGGAGGAGCUUCAGAGACCAGGAAAGACGGUCAGUCCACCAAUCAGAUGCCUUCUAGAGUCAGAGGCGUCUGCCCUCCACCCGUCCGUCCACAGAGCAAAGCGACCUUUCGGCUGUCACCUCUGCAACAGGAAGUUCAGCUGUGCCAGCGGGCUGUUCCUGCACCAAUGCAAUCAGCACCACAGCAAUAUAGGUGGUCUCUACAGAAACGGAUGUGGGGCGGCCCUGAGCAACGCCCAAGCUCCUAAAAACAAACGGGAAAAACAGACCACCCAGGAUGACAACAGGGAGGAGCCUCAGAGGCCCAGGAAGCCCCUCCUCACAGCACCCACCAAGGCUCCUUAUUGGUCAAGAGGCAUAAACCGUGCGAGAACACGUCCCAGCUGGUUGGUCGACUACUGGACCCUGAACAGGAGUGGGAAUGGAAGGAGGGGGACAAAGAGGAUCAGAGCGGAGGAGGAAGAAAAAGAAGAAAGGGAGGUGCAACAAGUCUGUGUGGAGAAGGAGGAGGAGCCUCAAAGGCCGAGGAGGACGAUGGUCGGCCCACCAAUCAGGUACCUGCUGGAGUCAGAGGAGACAACACGGGGUUCUGGAACAGCCAAUCAGACCAAUCAGAAGGCAGCUAACAAACACACAAGGAGGAGAGGAAGAUCAAAAGACUCUGUUGGAGGCGGGGCUUCAAAGAUGACUGACUGUUCUGACAUUGGAGAUAAAGACACAGGUCACAUGGUCUCAACGGGAGGAAGACAGGAAGAGGAGGAGCCUCAGAGACCAGGAAAGAUGGUCAGUCCACCAAUCAGAUGCCUUCUAGAGUUGGAGGAAACGUCACAUGAUUCUGGAACAGCCAAUCACACUGAUCAGGAGGCAGUUACCAAGCUAACAAGAAGGAGAGAAAGAUCAGAUGCUGUUGGCCUCUGUGAGCCUGGGGGCGGGGCUUCAGAGAUGAUUGACAGGCUUGACGCUAAAGUUAAAGACAUAAGUCACAUGGUUGAAAAGGGCAGAAGAAAGGGAGAUGAGAAGAAGGAGGAGCCUCAGAGGCUGAGGAGGACGAUGGUCGGCCCACCAAUCAGGUACCUGCUGGAGUCAGAGGAGCUGUCACGGGGUCAAAGAACAGCCAAUCAGGACACAGAAAACAAACCCACACACAGCAGACGGAGCCCAAAAAAGACGUCUGUCUUCCACAGACCGAAGCGACCGUUCGGCUGUCACAUCUGCAACAGGAAGUUCAGCCGUGCCAGCAGACUGUUCCUGCAUCAUUGCAAUCAGCACCGCAGCAUCAUAGACAGUUCCCAAGGCAACAGAGUUGGGAUGGCCAUGAGCAGUGCUCGAGCUUCUGAUGGCAAAUGGAAAGAAGGAACCCAGGGUAAGAACGAGAAUGGGGAGGAGCCUCAGCGGCAGCGAAGGAGGAGAGUUGGCCCACCAAUCAGAUACCUACUGGAGUCAGAGGAGUUGUCACAUGGUCUUAGAACAGCCCAUCAGAGUGCAGCAACCAAACCCACACAAAGGAGAGGAAGAAUGAAGGCUGGUGGUCUCACUAAGGCUGGGGGCGGGGCUUCACAGAUGAUUGAUAGGUUUGAGGCUACCUUUGCCACAGACAGACAGACAGGUGUGCAGAGGCAGACUUACCUGGUUCACAGAGUCUUGCAGGAUUGUCAGGUGACCAUCUCCCCCUGCUCUGUCACAAUGCAGCGCCUCCUCUGAUUGGCUGAUGACGUUCUUGUUAAACAUGUUUGUUUUAAUUUUUUCUAUGAAGUCUGGUUUCAGUGAUUUUACGUGUGUGUGUGUGUCACACUGUUUUUGAACAAUAAAAUGAAAUAAUGUCCUGCUCCUUUUUUCUGUCCUGCUGUUCAUGGUUUCUAAUAAUGAGGUCAAAGGUCAGGCUGCACCGCCCAUGGAACUGCAUGAUGUCAGAGAGGGGAUAUCCUUAUAAGGUCGCGUCAGGCUCUGAGUAAUCUAAAUCAAUGUGGGCCAUGACCCCCUGGUGGACGUCACAGGUACUGCAGACAGAAUGAUAUGCCGGCGCACUUUCACUGCCCUGUCUGCAACAUGACAGUCAUACAGCGUGGGGAUAUGGCAAGGCAAUUAUUGUCAUGUCAGCAUUCAGGACUGCUCCCCACUAAACUCUCCGUGGAGCCCCGCCCCUCUCCCGCUGCACUGUCCGUGGAGCCCCGCCCCUCUCCCACUCAACUCUCCGUGGAGCCCCAUCUCCCUCUCGAUGUCUCGUCUCCAGCAUCUAAACCAUUUCCUGAAUCUUCAGUAGAACAUUCAUGUGCUCCUCCCUCUGUGCUAAAUGAAACUGCGGCUUGUGGAAAGUCCAUGAAAAUGAAACGCCCUCACUCUGGUCUUACUCUUCUUACAAAAAAACUUCAAGGCUCACAUGAUGAGGAGGCAUUCAAACAGGUCAACAGAUGUUUGCCUGGCCUGUCAUCUGCAGUGUUUGUGUAGAGGGACUUCCUCCUCUUUGUUUCUCAGUUUGCAGAGGACAUUGAGCUCUUUUUAAAAGCAUGUGCGGAGCAGAGACUACAGGUCAAUGUGAUGUUUGACACUUGAUGGACAGAUGAAGGCACUGGCUGUUUGUUUGUGGUUUUUAUGUGCCGUUUGCUUUUCAGUGUACAGAAUUCCAGUUAAGCUUAUUAUAAAAUGUUGUUCACUUGUUUCCAUACUUAUAGUAAAAAUUUAAGUGUAAAUGUAACAGCAUUGUUUAUACUUGUAACUUCAAAGUAAAAAGGUUACAGUUGCUAUUAACAUUUAUGUAUUAUCCUGUAAUCAAUAAUAUUUUUAUACAUUUUACGUAUAACCCUCUGGGCUCUGUGCUGACUACUACACUGCAGUGGACCAAAAGAAUGACACAGGUUUGUUCUUAAGGGUCUAAUAGUUGUGUGUUGUGCAUGACAUUGCAACGCAAACAUGUAUUUGCAAGACAGACUGGAAUAAAUUAUGACGCAUCAAAUAUUACACAGGCUGCAGGGAAUUUUUGUUGAUACAGACUGUUGAGCUUUGAGUUUCCCAGUCAAACUUAGCUUUGAAGCACCUGCUAAAAACACUUUUACUCUUGUAGAGUAAAAUAUGGUUAUAGUAAAAAAAUCAAAGCUGCAGCACAUACAGCGACAAAAACUGUUAGUAAAUGUAUCCUGGAGUUUAUGCAGGUGCAGAAAGUGCUGCUGCUGUAAGUCAGCCUAACAGCUUGUAGAUCACGUAUUUUUCUGGAAAGAUGGUAAGAAGGGCAUCACUGCUCAUCUCUACAAUCUCCCAGAUCUUGGAAUACAAGCCUUUGUCCCAUGAAAAUCACUUCACAGUAGUAGGAGACCUCUAAACCUACAAAUGAAGAGUGAUCCUGGAAGAAAAAGGGCCCACACUAUAGUGACCUCAACAAUUGCAAGACAGCUUUGUCCCCGAUGCUUAUAUGAAAAAAAAAAAAAUACGAAGAUUUAUGAAACCAUUAGGACUAUAUUACUGUUUUACC